GUGUUAUUAUUAUACUUAUUAAAUAGAAAUAAAUGCCCCCAGCAGUUCAGCAUCCUCAACGGCCAUUUCGCCAUUGAUCUCUUUCCGACCUCCUCCUACUGAAAUUCGGGGUCCUCUGCCGGAAUAACUGCAGGAGAUGACUGCAAGUACCGGCAAGAUCAACCACCGGCGGUACGGUAGCAAAAUUAUAAAGCCUUUCUUUCUAUACGAUGUUGCCAAUCUAUGAUUGCUGCCGAACAUGCAACCGACAGAAGCUCCCGAAGUUCAAGUCAUAGAAAGGGCGGGAUCUGAUCAUCCUAAUACUGAUGGCUCUACCUCUGUGCAAAGGGAAAUGAGUUGCUCUUCCCGUGAAUCCUUGUUCAGUAUUCAUGUUGAUAGCUUCACGAGAUGUCCUGUUCCUGGCAUGGGUGCGGACCUACCCUACCCCGGGGAACAGGACAAGGCUCGAGAAUAUGAAUAUAUGGACCCCAAGCAAUCAAUUAGUCUCAGGGGAGGCUUUCAAGACACGGGAGGAGGAGAAGAGAAUAACAAAGAGGACCUGGGACUGGAUAACGGCCCAGUAUCAAGCCAAACUUUAGUAGAAUUACCGAAAGAGACGAGAAAAUCCGGAGAACAUACGGGUUCUUCUGCCCUUCUAACUCGUUUAACAGGCGAUGUUGCUGCUGCUGUAAGCCAGUAACCUGGAUGUGCGGCCACUGCUUGACUCCGGCCUGGAAUAGCUGUAUUUCCUUGUUGAGCUGCUGCUGCAAACGCCCGACCUGGCAAAGCUUUAUGUGUUCAAACCUCUGUGGAAGACGAUCUUCUAACACGGUGGAAAAUGGGCCCAAACAACAUACUAAGAGCUCGAAAAAGGCUUCCGGACAAAAAUCUUGAGGAAAAAACCAUGCUUUUAAGAAGGUUUCCAUUGUCUUCUCAGAAAACGAAAACAUUUCAGGCAGAUCGUAGAAAAAUUUAUCAAUUCUCAACCAAAAGAUUUGCUCAUGUUGCUUCAGAAGGCAAUGAUAUCUUCAUCUUUUCACAGUAGAUUUUUCCUCUAACUGUAAAUUUGAGGUUGUCUGGAAGGCACUUUCUCACAGUUUGGAAUCCUGGUGAGAAAUCCAGUGUGAAGAACAUGAAUGACAUGUUGUGUUUGUUGAUGCUAAGAAGUGCAGAGUACUAUAAUUGAUAAGAACACAAUUAUAUUA